rnacentral:rRNA from 1 species
GUCGAACGGUAGAGGGGGCAACCCCUCGAGAGUGGCGAACGGGUGAGUAAUAUAUCGGAACGUGCCCAGUCGUGGGGGAUAACGUAGCGAAAGUUACGCUAAUACCGCAUACGAUCUACGGAUGAAAGCGGGGGAUCGCAAGACCUCGCGCGAUUGGAGCGGCCGAUAUCAGAUUAGGUAGUUGGUGAGGUAAAGGCUCACCAAGCCAACGAUCUGUAGCUGGUCUGAGAGGACGACCAGCCACACUGGAACUGAGACACGGUCCAGACUCCUACGGGAGGCAGCAGUGGGGAAUUUUGGACAGUGGACGCAAGUCUGAUCCAGCCAUUCCGCGUGCAGGAUGAAGGCCCUCGGGUUGUAAACUGCUUUUGUACGGAACGAAAAGGUCUCUAUUAAUACUAGGGGCUCAUGACGGUACCGUAAGAAUAAGCACCGGCUAACUACGUGCCAGCAGCCGCGGUAAUACGUAGGGUGCAAGCGUUAAUCGGAAUUACUGGGCGUAAAGCGUGCGCAGGCGGUUAUGUAAGACAGAGGUGAAAUCCCCGGGCUCAACCCGGGAACUGCCUUUGUGACUGCAUAGCUAGAGUACGGUAGAGGGGGAUGGAAUUCCGCGUGUAGCAGUGAAAUGCGUAGAUAUGCGGAGGAACACCGAUGGCGAAGGCAAUCCCCUGGACCUGUACUGACGCUCAUGCACGAAAGCGUGGGGAGCAAACAGGAUUAGAUACCCUGGUAGUCCACGCCCUAAACGAU